ACCUUUACUAUAGCUUGACACUGAACAUUGAGCCUUGAUGUGUAGGAUAGGUGGGAGGCUUAGAAGUGUGGACGCCAGUCUGCAUGGAGCCGACCUUGAAAUACCACCCUUUAAUGUUUGAUGUUCUAACGUUGACCCGUGAUCCGGGUUGCGGACAGUGUCUGGUGGGUAGUUUGACUGGGGCGGUCUCCUCCUAAAGAGUAACGGAGGAGCACGAAGGUUGGCUAAUCCUGGUCGGACAUCAGGAGGUUAGUGCAAUGGCAUAAGCCAGCUUGACUGCGAGCGUGACGGCGCGAGCAGGUGCGAAAGCAGGUCAUAGUGAUCCGGUGGUUCUGAAUGGAAGGGCCAUCGCUCAACGGAUAAAAGGUACUCCGGGGAUAACAGGCUGAUACCGCCCAAGAGUUCAUAUCGACGGCGGUGUUUGGCACCUCGAUGUCGGCUCAUCACAUCCUGGGGCUGAAGUAGGUCCCAAGGGUAUGGCUGUUCGCCAUUUAAAGUGGUACGCGAGCUGGGUUUAGAACGUCGUGAGACAGUUCGGUCCCUAUCUGCCGUGGGCGCUGGAGAACUGAGGGGGGCUGCUCCUAGUACGAGAGGACCGGAGUGGACGCAUCACUGGUGUUCGGGUUGUCAUGCCAAUGGCACUGCCCGGUAGCUAAAUGCGGAAGAGAUAAGUGCUGAAAGCAUCUAAGCACGAAACUUGCC
rnacentral:rRNA from 1 species